UCUCUCUCUCUGUCUCUCACUGCAAAUUUACUAAAGUGUAUAUUACAUAUAAUAAAACUCAUCCCACAUUUUAAGUGUACAGAUUACUAAGUUUAGGUAACUGUGUGCAGUUUUGUAAGCAUGAUCACGAUACAUUACAAAACAUUUACAUUACCUCAGAAAGUUGCCUCGGGCCUCUUUGAAAUGAAUUCCCUUCCUCAAUUCCCAGACCCAAGCAGUACUGAUCUGCUGUCUAUCAUAAACAUUGCCUUUUCCAGAAUUUCAUAUAAAUGGGACCAUACAGAAUUUAAUGUUUUACCACCUUCACUUAACAAAGGUUUUGAAAUUCGCCUAAGUUGUGUGUAUCAAUAGUUUGCUUCUUUUCAGCCUACAAAGGUCCACCACCACCAACCUAGCUCUCUAGGCUGUUAGGAGCUUGCCACCAGUGUUCCACCUGGGCCAGUCCCCAUCCUCUGAGGAGGUAACAUCAUCCUGACUUCACUCCCAGUCACAAGAUCGAUCAGCAUCCAUCCACAGACAAGACACCACUGAGAAAAAUCCCAGAACCCAGGGGUGAGACUGAAGCACCCCCCUAGACAGCAGACACCAAGACAGACCAUAUUAUAAGGGGAAGCAGAUUUGGAUUCUCUAAUCCUACCCAUCCCGGAAGUCUGGCCAGCGAACCGGGGCAGUUGCAGAGCAAAGCCAGGCCCGCGUCUUGCCCAACUGUUGAGCACGGUCUCUGGUCCCACAUAGCCUGGGAGCCUGAACAGCGACCCUGGGCAGCCUUGGAACACAGCCCGCUGUACCACCAAACCGUGGAGCCGUCCACAGCCUACCCAGCAGAGGAGCCCAGCCUAUGAAGAAAGAGUGCGCAAACAGAAGAGGGGCAGAAAGAGAAGGAGAGAGAGAUCCCAAGUAUGCUCAGUGCUGUCAGCACAGAGCCUGACACUGGGCUUGAACUCACGAACCAUGAGACCAUGACCUGAGUUGAAAUCAAGAGUGGGCUACUUAACGGACUGAGUCACCCAGGCACCGCCCCCCCCCUGCUUUUUUUUAUUUUUAGAGAAAGAGAGAGAAAGUGAGUGGAAGCAGGGGCAAAGGCGGGGGGAGGGACAGAGGCACAAGGAGUGAGAGAGAAUCCCAAGCAGGCUCCAAGCCCAGCCCGGAGCCUGAUGUGGGGCUCUCUAUCUCACAACCCUGAGAUCUUGACCUGAGCCGAAAUAAAAAGUCAACCUAUUAACCAACUGAAACACCCAGGUUCCCCAGUUGGUUUGCUUUUAGAGGCUAGUGGAUACGAAGCUCAUCUUUACAACACAGUUGAUAAGAGCAAUAGAAAUGCUUUGCAUAAGGCACUAGGUGUCACAAUAUUGGGGUGGUAGAUGCUUCCUCAUUGGAGAUAUAGGGUUGAGAAGUAUUUUUAAAGCAUACUUACAAUAUGUAAGUAUAGUCUUAUAACUACCACUUAUUCUCUGCUUAUAUGAGCUCAACUUUUUUAGUAGACUGGGGGUAGGGGAAAUGUGGAGAUGUAGGUCAAAAUGUACAAAGUUUCAGUUAUGCAGGAUGAGUAAGUUCUCAUACCUAAUGUACAGAGGGGUUACUAUAGUUAAUAAUCCUGUAUUGUGUACUUGAAAUUUGCUAAUAGAGUUGAUCUUAAAUGUUGUCAUUACCAGAACAACAAAAACAAAGGUAAUUAUGUGAGGUGAUGAAUAAUGUAAUUAGCUUGAUUGUGAUAAUCACUUAACAAUGUGUACCUAUAUGAAAAUAUCACAUUGUACACCUUAAGUAUAUAUCAUUUUUAUUUGUCAAUUAUACUUUAAUAAAACUGAA